UUCGCCCUUCGGUUGUCCUGCCGGACCCCACUGCUAUCGAGGUGGGACUAAGCCAUGCUAGUUGAGCGCACAGAACUAUGUCUGUGAGCGGCACACUGCUCAGUAACACGUAGCUAACCUACCCUUAGGACGUGGACAACCCCGAGAAAUUGGGGCUAAUCCGCGAUAGAUGUAUUGUCCUGGAAUGGUAUUACGUCUAAAGGUAUCCCAUACAUGUUUGGUAUAUGCCUAAGGAUGGGGCUGCGGCCGAUCAGGCUGUUGGUGGGGUAAUGGCUCACCAAACCUUUGACCGGUACGGGCCAUGAGAGUGGUAGCCCGGAGAUGGACACUGAGACAAGGGUCCAGGCCCUACGGGGCGCAGCAGGCGCGAAACCUCCUCAAUGCACUUACGUGCAAGGGGGCUACCUCGA
rnacentral:rRNA from 1 species